rnacentral:rRNA from 1 species
UAGAGUAAUGCGUGACCAACCUGCCCCAUGCUCCAGAAUAGCUCUUGGAAACGGGUGGUAAUGCUGGAUGCUCCAACUUGACGCAUGUCUUGUUGGGAAAGUGUUUAGUGGCAUGGGAUGGGGUCGCGUCCUAUCAGCUUGUAGGCGGGGUAAUGGCCCACCUAGGCUUCGACGGGUAGCCGGCCUGAGAGGGCGGACGGCCACAUUGGGACUGAGAUACGGCCAGACUCCUACGGGAGGCAGCAGAU